AGAGUUUGAUCCUGGCUCAGGAUAAACGCUGGCGGCGUGCCUAACACAUGCAAGUCGUACGCUCUUUCCUCCGGGAAAGGGAGUGGCGGACGGGUGAGGAACACGUGGGGCAUCCACCCUGGGGUGAGGAAUACCGGCGAGAAAUCGCCGACAAUACCGCAUAUUCUUCUCGCAAGAGAAGCAAAGCCCGCAAGGGCGCUUUGGGAAGGGCCUGCGUCCGAUUAGCUAGUUGGUGAGGUAAAAGCUUACCAAGGCGACGAUCGGUAGCUGGUCUGAGAGGACGAGCAGCCACACUGGGAUUGAGAACGGCCCAGACUCCUACGGGGGGCAGCAGUGAGGAAUAUUCGGCAAUGGGGGCAACCCUGACCGAGCAACGCCGCGUGCAGGAUGACGGCCUUCGGGUUGUAAACUGCUUUUCUGGGGGAUGAGAAACGGACAGUACCCCAGGAAGAAGCUCCGGCUAACUACGUGCCAGCAGCCGCGGUAAUACGUAGGGAGCAAGCGUUGUCCGGAGUUACUGGGCGUAAAGGGCACGCUGGCGGUCCGACGCGUUUGGGGUGACAGCUCUCGGCUUAACCGAGAGAGCGUCUCAAAGACGGUCGGACUUGAGGGCCAGAGAGGGACAUGGAACUCCGGGUGGAGUGGUGAAAUGCGUAGAGAUCCGGAAGAACACCAAAGGCGAAGGCAGUGUCCUGGCUGGUACCUGACGCUCAGGUGCGAAAGCGAGGGGAGCGAACGGGAUUAGAUACCCCGGUAGUCCUCGCCGUAAACGAUGACCACCAGGUGUGGGAGGUAUCGACCCCUUCCGUGCCGGCGUUAACGCACUCAGUGGUCCGCCUGGGGAGUACGGUCGCAAGAUUAAAACUCAAAGGAAUUGACGG
rnacentral:rRNA from 1 species